rnacentral:lncRNA from 1 species
AGACAUCAAUCAGAUACAGUAAAUCGUUUAUUUCAAAUGACAAUGCUGCGUUCACGGUUCUCUAACUUUAUCACAAGACUUCAAGUCUAUGAUGUGCAUGAAAUUCUCCACCUUAAGAAACCCCUCGUCAAAACCAUCUUCUCCUACUAUACUGCUAUUGCAUAUAGCAUCUGAACCAGCACCAGAGGCAGUAACAGGGGAAAACGGCAAGACAAAGUACAAAUAAUUGGAGCAAAAUGAAUACAUCUAAGCCUCAUGUCAUGCAUCAAUCAAUGGGCUUAGGUGGGGAUGAGUGAAGUCAAAUAAAUAUCCUAUGGAAUUGAAAACAAAAGCAAAACAAGUUUUCCAUCCCAACUAAAAACAGAGUCGUACCACUCUCAAAUCAUCUUGAAGAAAAUGAAAGAGAUAUCAACCAAACAUGAACCAUAAAAACUAAACACAAAUCAAGCAAUCCGUAGAAAAUAUCAAGAAGAGGUAAAGAGACUAUUUACCAACGAAGAAAAACAAAAAGAUUAGUGGCAGUCAUACCCUUACCUUCUUCUCCUUCAAGCUCUCUGUUCUCUCUGGAAAAACUCUAACUCUCUGGUUCUUUCUCCCUUGUUUUCCCUCUCCAGACAUCAAUCAGAUACAGUAAAUCAUUUCUUUCAAAUGACAAUGCUGCGUUCACGGUUCUCUAACUUUAUCACAAGACUUCAAGUCUAUGAUGUGCAUGAAAUUCUCCACCUUAGGAAACCCCUCGUCAAAACCAUCUUCUCCUACUAUACUGCUAUUGCAUAUACCAUCUGAACCAGCACCAGAGGCAGUAACAGGGGAAAACGACAAGACAGAGUACAAAUAAUUGGAGCAAAAUGAAUACAUCUAAGCCUCAUGUCAUGCAUCAAUCAAUGGGCUUAGGUGGGGGUGAGUGAAGUCAAAUAAAUAUCCUAUGGAAUUGAAAACAAAAGCAAAACAAGUUUUCCAUCCCAACUAAAAACAGAGUCGUACCACUCUCGAAUCAUCUCGAAGAAAAUGAAAGAGAUAUCAACCAAACAUGAACCAUAAAAACUAAACACAAAUCAAGCAAUCCGUAGAAAAUAUCAAGAAGAGGUAAAGAGACUAUUUACCAACGAAGAAAAACAAAAAGAUUAGUGGCAGUCAUACCCUUACCUUAUUCUCCUUCAAGCUCUCUGUUCUCUCUGGAAAAAC